UACGUAGGUGGCAAGCGUUAUCCGGAUUUACUGGGUGUAAAGGGAGCGUAGGCGGCAUGGUAAGUAAGGUGUGAAAGCCUUGGGCUUAACCCGAGGAUUGCACUUUAAACUAUCAAGCUAGAGUACAGGAGAGGUAAGUGGAAUUCCUAGUGUAGCGGUGAAAUGCGUAGAUAUUAGGAAGAACACCAGUGGCGAAGGCGACUUACUGGACUGAAACUGACGCUGAGGCUCGAAAGCGUGGGGAGCAAACAGGAUUAGAUACCCUGGUAGUCCCUGA
rnacentral:rRNA from 1 species